UUGACCUCGGAUCAGGUAGGGAUACCCGCUGAACUUAAGCAUAUCAAUAAGCGGAGGAAAAGAAACCAACAGGGAUUGCCUCAGUAACGGCGAGUGAAGCGGCAACAGCUCAAAUUUGAAAUCUGGCUCUUUCAGGGUCCGAGUUGUAAUUUGUAGAAGAUGCUUUGGGUGUGGCUCCGGUCUAAGUUCCUUGGAACAGGACGUCAUAGAGGGUGAGAAUCCCGUACGUGACUGGUGCCUCCGCCCGUGUAAAGCUCUUUCGACGAGUCGAGUUGUUUGGGAAUGCAGCUCAAAAUGGGUGGUAAAUUUCAUCUAAAGCUAAAUAUUGGCCAGAGACCGAUAGCGCACAAGUAGAGUGAUCGAAAGAUGAAAAGCACUUUGGAAAGAGAGUUAAACAGUACGUGAAAUUGUUGAAAGGGAAGCGCUUGCAACCAGACUUGCAUGCGGUUGAUCAUCCGAGCUUCUGCCCGGUGCACUCGAUCGUAUUCAGGCCAGCAUCGGUUUUGGUGGGCGGAUAAAGGCCUUGGGAAUGUAGCUUCUUUCGGGGAGUGUUAUAGCCCUCGGUGCAAUGCGCCCUACCGGGACCGAGGACCGCGCUUCGGCUAGGAUGCUGGCGUAAUGGUUGUAAGC
rnacentral:rRNA from 1 species